rnacentral:rRNA from 1 species
GACGAACGCUGGCGGCGUGCCUAAUACAUGCAAGUAGGACGCAGUUGCGAACGGGUGAGUAACGCGUAGGUAACUGCCUAUUAGACGGGGAUAACUAUUGGAAACGAUAGCUAAUACCGCAUACUCGUAGAUGGACCUGCGUUGUGUUAGCUAGUAGGUCGGGUAAUGGCCUACCUAGGCGACGAUCCAUAGCCGCGCUGAUGGGGGGACCCGCCCAACUGGGACGUGAACACGGCCCAGACCCCUACUGGAGGCAGCCGUAGGGAAACUUGGUGAAUGGGGCGAACCCUGACCGAGCAACGCCGCGUGAGUGAAGAAGGUUUUCUGGUAGUAAAGCUCUGUUUUUAAGGAAGCGGUACUUAACCAGAAAGGGACGGCUAACUACGUGCCAGCAGCCGCGGUAAUAC